rnacentral:pre_miRNA from 1 species
UGUUAAAAAUUCUAUCCAUUUCUAUUGUUAAAAUUUGAGUGGUUGAUAAAAUGACUAGAAAACGUGUACAUCAUUUUAACGUAAAAAGAUUAAUUUUUAAUAGUGAAAAUAGAUGAAUUUUUAAUA